GGUUCGAUCAUGGCUCAGGUCAGACGCUGGCGGGAUGCUUUACACAUGCAAGUCGAACGGCAACACGGACUUCGGUCUGGUGGCGAGUGGCGAACGGGUGAUGUGUAUCGGAACGUGCCUAGUAGCGGGGGAUAACUACGCGAAAGCGUAGCUAAUACCACAUACGCCCUUCGGGGGAAAGCGGGGGACCUUCGGUUUCCGCACUAAUAGAGCAGCCGAUAUCGGAUUAGCUGGUUAGUGAAGUAACAGCUCACCAAGGCGACGAUCCGCGUAGCUGGUUUUGAGAGGACGACCAGCCACAUAAGGACGAGACACGGCCCAGACUCCUACGGGAGGCAGCAGUGGGGAAUUUUGGACAAUGGGGGAAACCCUGAUCCAUGCAUCCCGCGUGUGCGAUGAAGGCCUUCGGGUUUGUAAAGCACUUUGGCAGGAAAAGCAACGGCGCAGGAUAUUACCCCAUUACCAACUGACGUGCCUGCAGAAUAAGCACCAAGCCUUCGAUGCCAACAGCGCGGUAAUACGUAGGGUGCAAGCGUUAAUCGGAAUUACUGGGCGUAAAGCGUGCGCAGGCGGUUCGGAAGAAAGAUGUGAAAUCCCAGAGCCUAACUUUUGGAACUGCAGCAUUUUAACUACCGAGCUGAGAAAGUGUCAGAGGGAGGUGGAAUUCCCGCGUGUAGCAGUGAAAUGCGUAGAUAUGCGGAGGAACACCGAUGGCGAAGGCGGCCUCCUGGAGGAUAACACUGACGCUCAUGCACAGCAUUAUGGGAGCAAACAGGAUUAGAUACCCUGGUAGUCCACGCCUAAAGCGACGUCAACUAGCUGUUGGGGCCUUCGGGCCUUGGUAGCGCAAUAAGCAGCGACAAAGUUGACCGCCUGGGGAGUACGGUCGCAAGAUUAAAACUCAAAGGAAUUGACGGGGACCCGCACAAGCGGUGGAUGAUGUGGAUUAAUUCGAUGCAACGCGAAAAACCUUACCUACCCUUGACAUGUCUGGAAUCCCGAAAGAGGUGCGAGUGCUCGCAAGAAGACCAGACACAGGUGCUGCAUGGCUAGUAGUCAGCUCGUGUCGUGAGAUAUUUGGGUUAAGUCCCGCAACGACGCAACCCUUGUCGUGAGUUGCUGAAAAGGAGCACUCCUAAUGAGACUGCCGGUGACAAACCGGAGGAAGGUGAGAUGACAUCAAGUCCUCGUAAACCCAUAUGGGUAGGGCUUCACGCAUCAUACAAUGGUCGGGACAGAGGUCGCCAACCCGCGAGGCCAAUCUGACCCGAUCGUAGUCCGGAUCGCAGUCUGCAACUCGACUGCGUGAAGUCGGAAUCGCUGUUAAUCGCGGAUCAUAUGUCGCGGUGAAUACGUUCCCGGGUCUUGUACACACCGCCACGUCACACCAUGGGAGUGGGUUUUACCAGAAGUAGUUAGCCUAACCGUAAGGAGGGCGAUUACCACGGUAGGAUUCAUGACUGGGGUGAAGUCGUAACAAAGGUAG
rnacentral:rRNA from 1 species